AGAUUGUCAUAGCUUGUUCGCAGAAUUGGCAUGAUUUCCUCCCAUACUGUAUUUCUCUGCAAUACUUGUUUCCACUCAUCUAUACUGUGUUUACGUUUCAGGUGUCCAGCUACCACCUUUGCGGCAAGAGGAAGACCACUGAGUGUCUCAGCAAUUUUCCUUCCAAUGUUCUCCAAUUUUGAGUUGAUGGUAUGUUCUGUCUCAUCAAACACAGAAGUCUUUACCAGGGACCAACAGUCAUUAACUUGCAAGGUCUCCAAACUAAUUAUAUAGGAUGAUUGCAGCAUCUCUGCUACUAUACUUGACCGAGUUGUCAGAAGUAUCUUGCUCCCAAUUGCUCCGUUGUUUAGAGGGGCUAGCAGCUUCUGCCAGUUCUCUUGUUCUAUUGCUAUUGUUCUGUUGUCAUUGUUCCAAACAUCAUCUAAGACAAGGAGGAACCGUUUUGAAGCAAGCCUUGCCUUCAGUGCGGCUUGAAGUCUAUUGAAAUUUGUUAUGCCACCAUGCCUAAACCGACUGCUGGAAGCUGACUCCAGCAUUUCUUUUGUGAUCCUCAACUCGUCCAAGAGGCAAGUAACACAGAUCCACAUUCUCAGAUCAAAGUUCUCUGUUAUUCUAGCGUUGCUGUACACAUGCUGUGCUAGAGCAGUCUUACCUAUGCCACCUACCCCAACAAUAGAGACAGCAGAGACUGGGUUCUCGACCUCAGAACUUAUCAGAGCGGUUACCAGCUGUUGGGCUUCGAAGUCCCGACCGAUGAGUUUCCCGUGGGGUAUUGAGCUUGUCAUGAUGUUGUGUUUGCUGCUUCUGAUGUUCCUUGGUGUGAAGGGGUACCUUGGUUGUGAAACCGGGAGAGCAUGAAGGCGCUGAUUGGGCUACCGCUGCUCUCGUUCGCACUUGAUUCUUCCAUUUCAUGAUGGAGACGGUUGUACUCAAGCUUGUCUAGGAGAUCCUCUGCAUCAUACAUGACCUCUCGGAGCUCUCGCAUCCAUGGAAGAGAGCUGUAGGAGAGUGCUGGCACCAACUCAGCACCAUGGAGAAGUGACUGUGUGCGAAGCAAAGCAACACGAAGCCUGUCCAGCUCAUGCUCGAUGCCACAGUCGGCCGCCCAUCGCCGGAGCUGAUAGGAGAGGUACUUGUCGAAGAUAACUUGGAUGAACCAGCCACCUACAGCCAAGUAGCUGGAGAUAUCCAUAUUGGCAAUUACUGAGCUUGCUUCGGUUCUUAAGACCAAUAGUCUCAUAUAUACUGCUAGAUAGCAGGUCAAAGUCUUCCAAGAGUCUUUGAAGAAACUUCUACACCAUAUGUUAAUGGGCCACCUUUAUAAUUUGAAAGGGACACAUUUGUCAGAUUUAAUCAUUUGUUGGUUCCUUUA